rnacentral:rRNA from 1 species
CGACCCCAGGUCAGGCGGUGACUACCCCGCUGAGCUUAA